rnacentral:rRNA from 1 species
GACGAACGCUGGCGGCGCGCCUAACACAUGCAAGUCGAACGGAGCUUAGAGAGCUUGCUUUUUAAGCUUAGUGGCGAACGGGUGAGUAACGCGUGAGUAACCUGCCCUAGAGUGGGGGACAACAGUUGGAAACGACUGCUAAUACCGCAUAAGCCCACGGUACCGCAUGGUACUGAGGGAAAAGGAUUUAUUCGCUUUAGGAUGGACUCGCGUCCAAUUAGCUAGUUGGUGAGGUAACGGCCCACCAAGGCGACGAUUGGUAGCCGGACUGAGAGGUUGAACGGCCACAUUGGGACUGAGACACGGCCCAGACUCCUACGGGAGGCAGCAGUGGGGGAUAUUGCACAAUGGGGGAAACCCUGAUGCAGCGACGCCGCGUGGAGGAAGAAGGUUUUCGGAUUGUAAACUCCUGUCGUUAGGGACGAUAAUGACGGUACCUAACAAGAAAGCACCGGCUAACUACGUGCCAGCAGCCGCGGUAAAACGUAGGGUGCAAGCGUUGUCCGGAAUUACUGGGUGUAAAGGGAGCGCAGGCGGGAAGACAAGUUGGAAGUGAAAACCAUGGGCUCAACCCAUGAAUUGCUUUCAAAACUGUUUUUCUUGAGUAGUGCAGAGGUAGAUGGAAUUCCCGGUGUAGCGGUGGAAUGCGUAGAUAUCGGGAGGAACACCAGUGGCGAAGGCGGUCUACUGGGCACCAACUGACGCUGAGGCUCGAAAGCAUGGGUAGCAAACAGGAUUAGAUACCCUGGUAGUCCAUGCCGUAAACAAUGAUUAUUAGGUGUUGGGGGAUUGACCCCCCCACUGCCCCAGUUAACACAAUAAGUAAUCCCACCUGGGGAGUACGACGGCAAGGUUGAAAUUCAAAGGAAUUGACGGGGGCCCGCCCAACCAGUGGAGUAUGUGGUUUAAUUUGAAGCAACGCGAAGAACCUUACCAGGUCUUGACAUCCGAUGCAUAGCACAGAGAUGUGUGAAAUCCUUCGGGACAUCGAGACAGGUGGUGCAUGGUUGUCGUCAGCUCGUGUCGUGAGAUGUUGGGUUAAGUCCCGCAACGAGCGCAACCCUUAUUGCCAGUUACUACGUUAAGAGGACUCUGGCGAGACUGCCGUUGACAAAACGGAGGAAGGUGGGGAGGACGUCAAAUCAUCAUGCCCUUUAUGACCUGGGCUACACACGUACUACAAUGGCGUUAAACAAAGAGAAGCAAGACCGCGAGGUGGAGCAAAACUCAAAAACAACGUCUCAGUUCAGAUUGCAGGCUGCAACUCGCCUGCAUGAAGUCGGAAUUGCUAGUAAUCGCGGAUCAGCAUGCCGCGGUGAAUACGUUCCCGGGCCUUGUACA